ACUCUUUAACGCUGCACUUCUUCGUUAACAUACGAUGUUUUAAGGAAAAACAUAUAAAAACGAAGGGUUAAGGUCGGAGAAUCAUCCUCAAUUAUUGUUCGUGAAGAACCUAGCGCUAGUAUGUGCUUGCAACUGCAUUAGAAAGAUACAGCUUGAACUUUAUAUAGUUAUAUAGCUUUGAGAGGUCAGUUGCGAGGAUUAGAUGCAAUAAUGUCUUUAAGUGCAAUGUGCAGCACUCCUACUUUGGAGAUAACUUAAUUCCGACUAGUCUUUAGAGU
rfam:Pneumocystis jirovecii RT7 supercont1.12, whole genome shotgun sequence.